rnacentral:rRNA from 1 species
AGCUUUAGGAACUGAUCUAAGGUUAAGCCUGCCCAAUGUGCUCAUAUAUGAAUGGCCGCGGUACUUUGACCGUGCUAAGGUAGCGCAAUCAAUUGGCUUUUAAUUGGAGUCAGGUAUGAAUGGAUUUACGGAGCUUAACUGUCUUUUAAUUAAUAUAUUGAAAUUACUAUAUAGGUGAAAAAGCCUAUAAAUAGAAAAAGGACGAGAAGACCCUUAGAGUUUUACUUAAUUUAAGAUUAGUAAACUUCUUAUAAUAGUUUAGUUGGGGCAACAUAGGAGCAAAAUAAUAACCUCCUAAAAAAGAUAAACCGAUUUUUUUAAAGGUGAAUAAACUACCUUAGGGAUAACAGCAUAAUUUUAUUAAUAAGUUUGUGACCUCGAUGUUGGACUAGGAAACUAAUGGGCUAGCCGCCUUUUAGAUAGGUUCUGUUCGAACUUAAUCUCCU